GUGACAUCACUGAGAAUGCAGCCUAUCCAUUCACUAGAGAGCAGCAGUGACAUCACUGAGAUGCAGCCUAUCCAUUCACUAGAGAGCAGCGGUGACAUCACUGAGAAUGCUGCUCUCUAGUGAAUGGAUAGGCUGCAUUCUCAGUGAUGUCACUGCUGCUCUCUAGUGAAUGGAUAGGCUGCAUUCU